GGCCUCCCAAUUUAAACUAAGGGCUGUGUUCUUUACCCUGACUGUAUAGAAAGAGGAGGUACAGUAAAUACACCCAUAUACACCUCAACUCAGGCCCAUUUGCCUGGUCUGUAUUGUGAAUUGGGGGAAAAAU